CGGGUGAGUAACACGUGAGUAACCUGCCCUUAACUCUGGGAUAAGCCUGGGAAACUGGGUCUAAUACCGGAUAUGACUCCUCAUCGCAUGGUGGGGGGUGGAAAGCUUUAUUGUGGUUUUGGAUGGACUCGCGGCCUAUCAGCUUGUUGGUGAGGUAAUGGCUCACCAAGGCGACGACGGGUAGCCGGCCUGAGAGGGUGACCGGCCACACUGGGACUGAGACACGGCCCAGACUCCUACGGGAGGCAGCAGUGGGGAAUAUUGCACAAUGGGCGAAAGCCUGAUGCAGCGACGCCGCGUGAGGGAUGACGGCCUUCGGGUUGUAAACCUCUUUCAGUAGGGAAGAAGCGAAAGUGACGGUACCUGCAGAAGAAGCGCCGGCUAACUACGUGCCAGCAGCCGCGGUAAUACGUAGGGCGCAAGCGUUAUCCGGAAUUAUUGGGCGUAAAGAGCUCGUAGGCGGUUUGUCGCGUCUGCCGUGAAAGUCCGGGGCUCAACUCCGGAUCUGCGGUGGGUACGGGCAGACUAGAGUGAUGUAGGGGAGACUGGAAUUCCUGGUGUAGCGGUGAAAUGCGCAGAUAUCAGGAGGAACACCGAUGGCGAAGGCAGGUCUCUGGGCAUUAACUGACGCUGAGGAGCGAAAGCAUGGGGAGCGAACAGGAUUAGAUACCCUGGUAGUCCAUGCCGUAAACGUUGGGCACUAGGUGUGGGGGACAUUCCACGUUUUCCGCGCCGUAGCUAACGCAUUAAGUGCCCCGCCUGGGGAGUACGGCCGCAAGGCUAAAACUCAAAGGAAUUGACGGGGGCCCGCACAAGCGGCGGAGCAUGCGGAUUAAUUCGAUGCAACGCGAAGAACCUUACCAAGGCUUGACAUGAACCGGAAACACCUGGAAACAGGUGCCCCGCUUGCGGUCGGUUUACAGGUGGUGCAUGGUUGUCGUCAGCUCGUGUCGUGAGAUGUUGGGUUAAGUCCCGCAACGAGCGCAACCCUCGUUCUAUGUUGCCAGCGCGUUAUGGCGGGGACUCAUAGGAGACUGCCGGGGUCAACUCGGAGGAAGGUGGGGACGACGUCAAAUCAUCAUGCCCCUUAUGUCUUGGGCUUCACGCAUGCUACAAUGGCCGGUACAAAGGGUUGCGAUACUGUGAGGUGGAGCUAAUCCCAAAAAGCCGGUCUCAGUUCGGAUUGGGGUCUGCAACUCGACCCCAUGAAGUCGGAGUCGCUAGUAAUCGCAGAUCAGCAACGCUGCGGUGAAUACGUUCCCGGGCCUUGUACACACCGCCCGUCAAGUCACGAAAGUUGGUAACA
rnacentral:rRNA from 1 species